AUGUCGUGAAGGAAACUGAUGGAUUUUGUGACGUAGAUCUGGACGAUGGAGGAGGGUCUACAAAAGCCCCCUCAGCCUCAGGUUGGAGCGGUCCUGAUGAUGUCAGAGAAAUUAAAGAAUAAUAAUUAAAGACGAGAAAAUCAUUCUGCAGCCGUUAAAAUCAGAGAUGGUCUGUGGGCUCUGAGCGUCUGGACCGGGGGGCGGGGGGCUGAGGGGUCUUUACGAGGAUUUGGGACAAAGCCACGGUUUUAAUGGGACUCAGGUAAUGGUCCUUACACCGACCAGGGGGGGCGGGGGUCCAGGUUUGAGUCCGCUGACCUUCACAGGAGGCGCUCACGGACUCGUCUGGACUCAGCAGAUGAGAGGAAAUGAUCCUUUUAAUGACGGCGGUUAAUAAAGGAGUAGAAGAAGAAGAGGGGGGGGGGUCAAGUUCAGCUCAAAGUGAAGACCUGGUUCAACGGAAACAACAACCUCAGGGUCAGGGUCUGUGUGAGACCCUCUGAGGGGCCCCUCAGCCUCCGGGGGCCCCUCAUGUUUGUUUCAUCGUUCUCAGUAGAAAACAGAAAAUUACCGUCAUCCUCAGGGCCCACUUUAUACUUUCAUGUUCACGCCACACUCAAGCUGCCGACGCCGUCCUGAGCUCGCCAUACUCAGCGUGUCGCUCUGCAGGAGUUCCCGGUGGUCAUGGUAACACAGGAAGGACAAAAAGGUAACAGGUGUGCUUUUGGAUCCACCCAGAAGACGACGGCGGUUCUUCUUCGUAGUUUCUGACGGAUGGAGGAUCAGACUUCUUGUCCUCAAAGGCCACCGUAGCCUCGCAGACAGGAGGGGUGAGAAAGGGAGCGUCUGAAUGUGGGUGUGGCCAAAUGUUGACUUUUUUCUGCAAACUCAGACGAUCGCAAAUGAAAACUGUGAUUCAACCUCAACGGUCUGAAAACAACCAACGUGAGAGUGUGAGGGACGGGUCCAGAAGAAGAAGGAGGAGAAGAAGAAGAAGAAGAAGAAGAAGGAGAAGAAGAAGAAGAAGAAGGAGAAGAAGAAGGAGAAGAAGAAGAAGAAGAAGAAGAAGGAGAAGAAGAAGAAGGAGAAGAAGGAGAAGAAGAAGGAGAAGAAGAAGAAGAAGGAGGAGGAGAAGAAGAAGGAGAAGAAGGAGAAGAAGAAGGAGAAGAAGAAGAAGGAGAAGAAGGAGAAGAAGAAGAAGAAGAAGAAGGAGAAGGAGAAGAAGAAGGAGAAGGAGAAGAAGAAGGAGAAGAAGAAGAAGAAGGAGGAGAAGAAGAAGGAGAAGAAGCAGAAGGAGAAGGAGAAGAAGAAGAAGAAGGAGAAGAAGAUGAAGGAGAAGGAGAAGGAAGAGAAGAAGAAGAAGAAGAAGAAGGAGAAGAAGGAGAAGAAGGAGAAGAAGAAGGAGAAGAAGAAGAAGAAGAAGGAGAAGAAGGAGAAGAAGAAGAAGAAGAAGAAGGAGGAGAAGAAGAAGGAGAAGAAGGAGAAGAAGAAGGAGAAGGAGAAGAAGAAGAAGGAGAAGAAGAAGGAGAAGAAGGAGAAGCAGAAGGAGAAGGAGAAGAAGAAGAAGAAGGAGAAGAAGAAGAAGAAGGAGAAGGAGAAGAAGAAGAAGAAGAAGGAGAAGAAGAAGGAGAAGGAGAAGAAGAACUCAGGUUUAACUUCAUCCCUGAGGAGCUGGCGGAGGCGGAUCGUCCCGUCUGUUUAUAAAAUCUGAUCUUUGACUUUAAACCUGAAAAAUAAGAAACUUUAAAACAUGAAAUAAAGUCAAAUUAAGUCUCUGCAGCUCGACGUGUUUAAUGAGGUUAAUUAGUUAACAUGCACACACACACGCACACACACACACACACACACUCCGUGAUUAAACCCAGAGAUUAAAAAAAGACGGACGAGAUGAAAUCAAUAAUUUCUGCAGGUGAGAUUCUGGAGAAGAGCGGAGACUUCAGGUCGACUCGGAGAGAAACAACAAAACCUGAAGAAGAAGAAACAGGAUGACUGACGAACAGGAGGGGGAGGGUUUGAUAACGAACUGAGGCUGAUAUUAUUGAUCGAUCGAUUAGAAUAUUGAUUCAUGACAGAUUUAGGAAAACCUCAGACUCACACAAACACGACCAUGAAGAUCGUCAUGUUGGAGAUCCAACUUCAGAACAUCGCAGACUGAAUACUACAGUUCCCAUGAUGCACCUGGAGGUCUGAGCUGCUUUUCUGUCUGACCAUAAACUGUAUCCAGAACAGACGCCGUCUGCCUCCUCUCUGAGAACAGCGCCCUCUGGUGACGGGCUGCAGUAUAGGUCCUAAACCCCGCCUCCUUAUGGAGCUGUGGACAAACUUUAUAAAUGAAUGACACAGAAUAUAAAUGUUUCUCCCCCCUGGUUGUGAUGUUGACUCGGCGACUCUCCCGCCGCAUGCGCACAAUGUUGUUUCAGGAAAUGGAGAAAAAAUACUGGAGGAGGGCGGAGCCAAGUCGUCUGUAGUAUAAACAGUCUAUGGUGGUGACGGUCUGGAGGACGUAGAACAUUCGAGAACAUCACCGAACUCAGGUCACAUGGUCACAUGAUCUUUAAAGACUCAUCAUGACCUGCCAACACUCCUGGUCUGUAAACGUGGUCCCUGUUUGACCCCUUAGGGCCCGCCAUGAUCCCCCUGACCACGUGUUGAGGCGUCUCAGGUGUUACAGCAGCUCACAGCGCAGGGCGGCGAUCUGAGUGAAAGAUGGCUGACAGGCUGAGAAUGAAGACAGACGGCGUGGAGCUGUCACAUAUUUCAGGCAGUGGCGGUGGCGGCGGCGGCGACGCGCGCUCAUUAAAGACGGAAAGCUCCGGAGCCGUAAUUGUUUUAAUUUAUUUGUUUAUGGGGAAGACAGAGGGGACGGGCACAUGGCACUCUGCUGCUUUAUUGGGAACAUAUGGAAGACAUUUAUCACCAUUCGCCGCCGUCGGCCUAAAUGAUUUUAUUAACUCAUUUGUAACUUUACACUUUUUUAAUCAAACACAUGCUGCGCGCUGUAAUGCUCUGAUAAUGCUCCGGGGCUUUGUAAAGAGAGAGAGAGAGAGCGGCGCAGCCAGAGGGAAAUAAAGAGGGGCGAGAGAGAGAGGGAGAGAGGGGGAGAGGGAGAGAGGGGGAGAGAGAGAGGGAGGGAGAGAGAGAGGGAGAGAGAGAGAGAGAGAGAGAGAGAGAGAGAGAGAGAGAGGGAGAGAGAGAGGGAGAGAGAGGGAGAGAGAGAGGGAGAGAGAGAGAGGGAGAGAGAGAGAGGGAGAGAGACGGAGAUGGAGAGAGAGCGAGAGAGAGAGAGGGAGAGAGAGAGGAGGAGAGAGAGAGAGAGGGAGA
rnacentral:lncRNA from 1 species